AUAAGGCUCAGUCAAUUAUGCCCUUUCCCAGCUUGUAACCCCAAAUUUGGGUAAAUGGAACCACAUGAGGGCUAAGAGCCAUCCCAGCUAGGAGCCCUGCUCUCUGUGCUGGCUCCCAUGAUGUGAUUCACUGCGAGCUGCCAGCACCCAUGAGAACAGUGACAGGUGCCCUAAGAAAUUGUGGUAGCAGAGUGUGGAAUUCAAAGUGAGACUCUUACCAGCCUGCUAAUGACAGUGGAGGAGCACAGAGGUAUACCUGUAACUCAAGCUGAUCCACUCCAAAAAAAUUAAAAUACAAAAAAAAGCAAAGACAGGCAUGCCUGAUGCAGACAGAAGAGACACGCAGGAGAAGGGAUUUUUGAGCCACAUGGCUGACAAGGAGCAAGGAGCUGGGAGAAGCAGCCGUGCUGGGAAGCUGCCUGAAGCUGGGAAGAAGCUCCACGAGGCCGUCUGCGUGCUGCUGGUGGAGCUGUGCGAGAGGUUCACCUUCUUCGGCAUCGUGUGCAACAUGAUCCUCUUCUGCACGGCCAGGCUGGGCUACUGCAGCCACCAGGCAGCCAUGGUCAACAUGGGCUUCGUGGGCACCUCCACGCUGACCCCAGUGCUGGUGGGCUGGCUGGCGGAGUACCUGGUGGGGAGGACCAAGCUGGUGUGCAUCUGCAUGUUCCUGCACUUCCUAGGCACAGCACUGUUACCUGUGGUGUCUUUCCCCUUCGAGGACGUUCACAUCGACAGACGACACGUUCUCCUCACCCUGCCCAAAAGGGAGCAGAAAAUUGUGUUCUACUUUGCACUCCUCACAGCCAGCCUGGGAAUUGGAGGCAUAAGAGCCAUUGUGUGCCCACUGAGUGCCUACAGCCUCGAGGACUGUGGGCCAAAGGAGCUGCUUUCAUUUUUCAACUGGUUUCAUUGGCUGGUUAACUUGAAUUCAGCAGUGGUCUUUGUCAGCAUUUCUUACAUCCAGCAGUCCGUGGCCAGGAACCUUGGCUUUCUUAUCCCAUUUGUGUCUGGGCUUAUGGCUAUGAUCACAAUUCACAUGGUUCGGGGUGAAAUGAUUUACAAACCUAAAACAGACAGUUCCCUGCUGACGACUUUUGGGGUGAUUUUUAGUGCCCUGAAGACGUGCUGCGUGCGCUACCGCUACCUCGGCACAGCCGUGGCCAGCUGGCUGGACCAUGCCAAGGAAAACCACGGUGGGCACUACUCUGAGACUCAGGUGGAGGGCACAAAGUCACUGGCCAGACUCUUCCCCCUGUUCACUUUCCAGAUUCUCUACAGAACGUGCAUUAUGCAGAUUCCUUCAGGAUAUUAUCUCCAAACCAUGAAUUCCAACUUGCACUUUGGUGGAUUUGUCUUGCCAGUUGCAGUGAUGAACGUGAUAAGCAUCGUGCCGCUACUGAUUCUUGUUCCUAUUUUGGAGUGCAUUAACUCCUGGCUCUUUAGCUCCAAGGACACUGGACAUUCUCCAACAAUUUAUAUUGUUGUAGGUCAUUUAUCUGCUGCUCUUUCCGUGAUGGCUGCUGGCUUCUCCGAAAUCCACCGCAAGCGCUUCCCUCAGGUGGAGCAGACUCUCUCCGAGGAGCUCCUCCUGGUCUCCUCCAUGCCUUGCUUCCACUUGGCUCCUCAGUACAUCCUGCUUGGAGUGGCUGAAGCCUUGGUAACUCCCUCCUGUUCCUUACUUUCAUUCUGGCUUGUGCCUGAAAGGAUGAGAGGGAUUUCCAUGCACUUCUUAGCUCUCUUUAAUGGAGCUGGCUGCUUUAUGGGAGCUCUCUUUGUUCAGACAGCCCACGCAGGCACUCAAGGCAACUGGUUCCCACACUUGCUGCAUGAAGGUAAACUGGAGAGGUUCUUCUUCUUCCUGGCUUCCUUGAUGAUGGUGAACACCCUGGGGUUCUGGGCCAUUGCACACAGAUACAACAAUCUCCAUGAGGAUUGCACCAAUGGGUUCAGAGGAGGUCUUCCUGGAGAAAAGCUUUUGAAGCGUGAAAAAGCCAUCAAGCAUUAUAAUUCUGUCCUGGAAAGUUCUCCCAUUUUGUCUCCUGUGGAGAAAACCUGAUAAAAUUUCACCCUGAUAACAUUUAAACCCUAAAUUUUGGGGGUUUUUUAUCCACCAGCUCUCUAAGGAUAAAUUAUCCAGCGCACUUAAGUGGAACUAUGUUCUGGUAUUUAUGAAUUAUGUGGUGAAAUAAUAUUAUUUAGAAGUUGACAUGGGAUUUGGCCUUGAAGGAGGCUGCACUGUCAUAAUUCACAUGGAGGCCAAGGAGAGCUCACUGCUUGCCACAUCUGAUGGAGAGAGGCUUUUAAUCUUUAUAUGGAAACAGAAACUGAAACAUGAGAAUAGAUGGCAGCAGAUAACAGAAUGCAGGCAUUUGAGUUCAAUUGUCUGAUGAAGAUAAUUCUGCAAGAAAAAGAGGAUUAGUUAACUCCCUGGAUAAGACUUCCUUAGAAUGGGCUUUGGGAUGAAGAGUUGAAUAUUGAAUGUACUUACAUGGACAGGAGAAAUGCUUUUUCUAUCAGAUUUAAUAAAGAGUUUGGAUUUCAGAUGGAUGGCAGAAGAAAAGGGGGCACUGGAUGCUGAAUUUGGCCUUAGUUCAGUUGGUGGAGCAGAGGAAUCUACAUCUAUCAAUGUAAAAUCUAUCAAUCAAUCAGUCUCACUGUUAUGACAGGGCAAUUUAGCACUCAAAACCAACAGACAGGAAUUUUUCUUGAGCUGCAGCAUCUAGGACUCCACUCAAAGCUGAUGGAAUCCUUUGUGCAUACAGGGCACUGCCUAAAUUAUAUAAAUCUUGUGCCAGCACACUGAGAAAUCAAUAUAAAAGACUCUAAGGGUUUGGUCUUUGAAGGAAAGCUGCUUUUCACUUCUGAAAAAUUUAGUGACUUUUUACAUUUUAAAAAAAAAAGUUGGAGGACAGAGAAAAUAAGGAUGUGUGUGUGCAUACAAAAUGAUGCCAUAAACACCUGAAAAAUGUUAGGAGAGCCUGCUUUUGUUCAGCCUUUUGUUGAUCUGUGGCAGUUUUCACCAAGCACUCAGAUCUGACCGCUUGUGUUUGGGUCACCUGUUGCCAUUCUGGAUUGCUUUGCACAAAGGAAUUUUAGGGUACUCAUGUUUUAAUCCUCACCAUAAAGGUUUAUAGUUCUGAAAUGUAUUGUGGGAAAAGUUACCUCCUAGAUGAGAUUAGGAGUGGCCAGAAACAUCCCACUUCAGUUUCCUGUUUGAUUACUGCCUAAAUGUUCUCACUGUUCUCCCUUGAAAUUAGUAUGAAGGGCUCUACAUUCAGACUUGACUUGGGAAGAAGUUGCUUUUGUGCAGCUCUGGGUUUCACUGAGUGCUCGUUAGGGGUCAUUACUGGCCUUGAAUAGCCAGAUGGAUUUCUGAUUACUGCUGGUACACUUUGGGGGUGUCUUUUUAAUGGUUAAAUGUGUGUUUUGUACUGUAUUCAUGGACACACCAAAAAAAAAAAAAAAGGCAAGUUCUGUCCCAGACAGUUCACAAACCACCUCAGUUAAGUCUAAAUUCAUGGGACACCAUUUUUGGGGGGGAGGGGGAAAAGAAAACUUAACGGAGAGGAUUGAGAUCUCCAUCUGUUAAGUUUGCACUGAUUAUAAAACACAUGCUCCCAGUUGGAACAAGAUGCAUUAAAAGAGCAAUUUCACUUCUACUGCCUAGCACAAUGUCACUGAGCACCUGCAAUAGUUUAAACAUUAAGCAUAAUUGGCUUUGCUUGACAUAAAUCUGCAGUUUUGUAAAUAAGAGCAGUUGAGUUUCUGUGUAAUACCAAUUAGCUAUAAGGAAUGCUUUGUUUGCUGAAGCCUGCAGCUUUGUGGAGGGAAGAGGGAGUUGUUAAUGCUCAGCAGUGGUAGUCAGAAAGUAGAACCCAGAUUAGACAAUUACACAGGCUUUGAAUAUCCUUGUGAAAGUUACUUCAUUUGUUUCAAUCAGUUUCCCUAGAGUAGGAAAGAAAGAAUAACAUCUAUAAUUUUUAAAUUUUUUUGGUAAAGAGCUAUGUGGCUGUGUGAUCAAAGUAACCUGGAGGUAAUUUUACAGCACUCAACUGAGAUGUCUUGUCCUAUGCUGGAUUUCUUUUCUCUUCUUUUAGUGGAAGCUACUUAAAAAUUCUUGAAGCACCUUGAAAAUUCUUGUAAAUUUUCUUGAAUCACUUGUUUUCUGCCAGGGAUGGAGGAAAGAGGUGCAUGAUCCACUAGACAUGAAAACCACUCUUGUUCAGUUCCUGUGGGAGCUGUGAGUUGGAAAGGUCAGGUAGGAGAAUCCCUUCCUUGUGGCAUUACAGAGUAGAACUGCAGAGCAGAACUGAAGCUUUCGACUUAAGCUUGGAGUCUGUUUGCUAUAACAUGUUUAGAUUUGUCUUGGCAAGGGCAAAUGCAGCUACCUUCAAGAGGAUGUUUUGAAAGUCUGCUUUUUUUCAUCUGAAAAAGAAAAGUAAACUCACAAGUCUUCUCAUGAUUUCUCUGUUCUCUGUCUGUAACUUUAAAUAUAGAUUUCCAUGAAUCAGAGAAGGUUGACACCUAAACAUUAUGAAAUCUACUAGUUUUGGUGAUGGCUCUUUAAUCAGUUCUAAUACUCAGUGGUAAUAAGAGUGAAAGAAACUGCUCUGAUGGGGAUUUUUCAGUGUUUUGGAGAUAUUUCAUCUCUAGAGUACUGGAUGGUCGCACCCUAAGACUACCAAGUUGUAAAUACAGUCUAUAGAUUUGGUUUUUAUUUCAAAAUAAAAUUAACAGAAGCUUUUUUUUUUAAAAAAA